CUGCACAGCGAACACCCAAGCGAGCUUUGUAGCUCCCUUGGCACAAGAAUGUGCUAAAAUAAUCUGUUCUUUACCCUCUGCAUUGGAAGGAACGCCUUUCCUUUUCUAUGUAUUCAAAAGGACAGUACAAUG